AACUCUCUGCCCGGAGAGAGGCCCGACAGCUGCGACCCGACUGGUUCUGUCCGAGCCCGACGGGCCGCGCUGACCCAGCGACUGUGCCUGACUGACCACAGGUGCCGCCACCGCCUGAUAAUACGAGUGUGUCAGCUUCCGUCUGACUGAACGCAGGUUUCAUGGGUGCCUGACAGACCAAGACUGCUGGAUCUGUCAGCCUGGCCGCAGCUGGCUGACUGGCUGACUGGCUGGCUGGUUGACUGGCUGGCUGACUGGCUGCCUGGCUGGCUGGCUGGCUGGCUGCUCUUGCCCGGCCGCCAUCUGGGCCUGACGGGCUGCGUCUGACCGGGCGGCCUAUCUGCCUCUGCCUGACCAGCCUCCAUCUGUGCUUGGCGAGCUGUGUGACCGGCCGCGACGGUCUGUGUCUGACUGAGCACAAGGUUCCUAGCGGCCGAUCAGCUGCUUGACCCCAUCUCUGCUGAGCCGGCCGACACCGACGGAUUGACUCUGGCAACGCCUGGCCCGAGUGGCGCUACCGGCUUCCAGAGACUUCCUGACCCCUGCCGAGGUUGCACCGCUCAGCGCUGCCCUGUGAGGCGCUGACUGUGGCCGCAGCUGAGUGCGGCUGCCCCUUCACAGACAGGGCGUGCAGAAUGACGGUCGCCUGGCUGUCCCUCCCUAGGCGCCCCUGGCUAGCUCGGCUUGCCUGGCAGCGUCUGUGUCUGAGGGACGUGUUGGUGGCCGCCGCUGGCCGCAUCUGUCCCCCUGCAGGUGGGCAUCAGGUUGCCCCCGUGAAGUGCAGCUGGGGCCGAGCCUGGCUGAAGGACGGCCACCUUCUCUCCAGCUGUCCAGCGAGGGCUUCUGAGGUGGUGCCCUCCGGGGCUCUGUGGCCUGGACCUCUCCAGCCACACACAGUCAGAGCCUUAGGGGAUCCCAAGCAAGGGCACCCACAGGGAAGAGAGCCUAAGACAGAGGCCAAGGGACAGGCAGGCAGCAGGGGUGGGACUUCGGGCCAGGCGAGGAACAGCUGGAAGAAGCUCCGGGGCUGGGAGGAGGCCGCAGGACCUUGAGGUGCCGGAGUUUAGGGAUCCGAUUCUGUAAGGGAGGCAGCACCUUGAGGAGUUGGGUUGGUGUGUGGGGUCCUCAGGACACGAUCCCUGACUUUGAAUACCUUUUUUUGCGGGUUUUGGGGAAAUCUCUGUCAGUGCCUUGCUGCUCUGCAGAAGGGUCAUCCCGCAGACCUCAGAUCUCUUCCCGAAUUAAUUAAUUUAUUUAUUUUUAUUUAUUUUUUUCUUUUUUUGAGAUGGAGUCUUGCUCUGUCGUCCAGCCUGGAGUGCAGUGGCCCGAUCUUGGCUCACUACAAACUCCGCCUUCCAGGUUCAAGCGAUUCUCAUGCCUCAGUUUCCCAGGUAGCUGGGAUUACAGGUGUGCGCCACCAUGCCUGGCUAAUUUCUGUAUUUUAGCCGGGGGUUUGUAGAGACAGGGUUUUGCCAUAUUGCCCAGGCUGGUCUCAAACUCCUGGCCUCAAGUGAUCUGCCCACCUUGGCCUCCCAAAGUGCUGGGGUUACAGGUAUGAGCCACUGCACCCAGCCUCUUCCUGAAUUUAAAUCUCUCCCAGCCUGUGUGUGUGUGUGUGUGUGUGUGUGUGUGUGUGUGCCAGCCACACCAACCACAUGCAAUGGCUUCCCCCCUGGAAGGAGUUGUUCUGUACCAGAAUAAGGGGGAAGGAAAUACUGGUCAGAGGGAUUUAUUUUUUUAAAGCAAGCAUGGGUAUGCUAUGAGUUAUUGCUAUUAAUAAUAAUACAAUGAAAGCAUCAGACUAGUUUAUUUCGAACUAGCUCUAGCAUGCUAAGAUGUUGCCUCUCCAUUAAUAACAGGGCCCUGGCUGCCUCGUUGAUUUCAUUAUAGGCCAUGGGAGGAAUGGGAGGAAAUGAACAGCUUCACUCCCAAGGGCUUUCAUAACAUGGAUUUGGAUCUCAGCCAGUGUGGGCAGUGGGGCUUCCCGGGGGCAGGGGACUCCUGGGGUGCUGGGAAAAAGAGGCAGCAACAAGUUGCAUGGAGCAUUUGUACCUCAUUUAUUUAUUCAUUUAUUCAACAAAUAUUUAUUGAGUACCAUGUGCCAGGCACUGUGCCAGACUCUCACUCUGUCCUCAUGGAGGAUAGCCUUAUGGGAUCCAGGAAACCUCUCCAGUGCCUCCCAACUCUGGUCCUGUCAAAGCCACAUGCUGGGUACCAACUGCUUUCUUUCUGAGCUAGCUGCACAGCUAAAAUGGGAGAGCUAGUAGAGUACAGUGGUCCUGAAAUUGUGGUCCUUGGACGAGCAGUAUCUGGACCACCUGGGAACUUAUUAAAAUACAAAUUCUCAGGUCAGGAGAUCGAGACCAUCCUGGCUAACACAGUGAAACCCUGUCUGUAUUAAAAAUACAAAAAAAUUAGCCAGGCGUAGUGGCGGGCGCCUGUAGUCCCAGAUACUUGGGAGACUCAGACAGGAGAAUGGCGUGAACCUGGGAGGCGGAGCUUGCAGUGAACCGAGAUUGCGCCACUGCACUCCAGCCUGGAUGACAGAGCGAGACUCCAUCUCAAAAAAAAAAAAAAAAAUUAUCGGGCCCUAUCUCAGAUGGACUGAAUCAGAAACUAUUUUAGUGUAGGGCACAGUGAUCUAUGUUUUAACAAGCCUCCAGGUCUUGCUGAUGUCCUGAGAACCAGGACAAAGUCGUGCUAAAGUCUGAGAACCACUGGUGGAAUAAUUAAUUGUGUUGGCUCUAGUAUCACACUGUCCAUAUCAGAAUCUCAAUGCUACUACAUAAGAGCUGUGUGACUUUGACCAAGUUAUUGAAUCUUUCUGUGCCUUAAUUUUCUCAUUUGCAUAAUUGGUAUAAUUAUGAUUACCCUAAACCAUUGUUGUACAUAUUACAUCACGUGAAAAGGUUAGCGCACAAUUUCAGCUCUAGGAACAUAUCCUGUGGACAUAUUUCUUUUCUUUCUUUCUUUUCUUUUCUUUUUUUUUUUUUGAGACAGUUUCGCUUUUUUCACCCAGGCUGGAGUGCAAUGGCACAGGCUUGGCUCACUGCAACCUCUGCCUCCCGGGCUCAAGCAAUUCUCCUGCUUCAGCUUCCCAAGUAGCUGGGAUUACAGGCACCCUCCACCACGCCCGGCUAAUUUUGUAUUUUUAGUAGAGAUGGGGGUUUCACCAUGUUGGCCAGGCUGGUCUCGAACUCCUGACCUCAGGUGAUCCACCUGCCUCAGCCUCCCAAAGUGCUGGGAUUACAGGCAUGAGCCACUGUGCCCGGCCCUGUGGACAUAUUUCUGCAUAUGCUGAAAGACAAGUGUAAGGGAUAUUCAUUAAUUUGUUGUUUAUAAACACACUAUUUAUUUAUUUAUUUAUUUUUGAGAUGGAGUCUCGCUCUGUUGCCCAGGAUGGAGUGCAGUGGCACGAUCUUGGCUCACUGUAACCUCUGCCUCCCGGGUUCAAGCAAUUCUGCCUCAGCCUCCCAAGUAGCUGGGAUUACAGGCGUGCACCACGGCACACAGCGAAAUUUUGUAUUUUUAGCAGAGAUGGAGUUUUGCCAUGUUGGCCAGGCUGAUUUCAAACUCCUGACCUCAGAUGAUCCACCUGCCUUGGCCUCUCAAAGUGUUGGGAUUACAGGCAUGAGCCACUGCGCCCAGCCAAUGCAUUCAUUUCUGUAAAAAAAAAAAAAAAAAAAAAAAAAAAAAUCUUUAUAAAAUCUUUUUUUUUUUUUGAGACAGAGUUUCACUCUUGUUCCCCAGGCUGGAGUGCAAUGGCGCGAACUCGGCUCACCACAACUUCUGCCCCCUGGGUUCAAGUGAUUCUCCUGCCUCAACCUCCCAAGCAGCUGGGAUUACAGUCAUGCACCACCACGCCCGGCUCAUUUUGUAUUUUUUUAAUAGAGACGGGGUUUCUCCAUGUCGGUCAGGCUAGUCCCGAACUCUCAACCUCAGGUAAUCCGCCCGCCUUGGCCUCCCAGAGUGCUGGGAUUACAGGAGUGAGCCACCGUGCCCAGCCUAUAAAAUCUUUAUACAGAUACAGGCUCAUGUACAUCUGAAAGGAUACUCAAGGAACUGGUAACAGUGGGAGAAGAAAUGGGUGGCUGGAAACAGGAGAAGGGAAACAUUUUUACCAUACAUACACCCUUUUAUGACUUUUAGAUUUUGCAGUAUGUGCAUGCAUUUUCUAUUCACAAAAAUGAAAUUUUUUAAAAAAGGGGGCAGUACUUAGCACAAUGCCUAGCAGUGGUGGCGGUGGUGGUGAUAGCCUUUCUGCAGCUCUGGGCAGAUGAUUCACUGCAGAAAUGCAGCCCAGAGAUAUCUAGAGGCUGGCCAUAGCCUCCAGACUGUCCUCCUAGCCUCUCGGUCUCCCUUCUUCAUUCUAUAUGAUCCAUGUUUCCCCAUCGGAGAAUCUUUGCAUUUUAGAGAUGUAAAGGGGCUUCAGAUUUUCUAGUGCAACUGUUUUAACGGUGAAGAAACUAAGCCCCCAAAAGAUGCCAUAACCAGUCCAAGGUUAUCAACAGGGUUCAAUCUAGGGCCUCUUUUACACCAUCCUAAGUUUUCUAAAAUUCUGCUGUCAUUCCAUCACUGCUCUGCCCGUGAAUCCUCAACCUGGCUAUUAAGACUAGCUGUGGUCUAGGCCAAGCACAGUGGCUUAUGCCUGUAACCCCAACACUCUGAGGCCGAGGUGGGCAGAUCACUUGAGGUCAGGAGUUUGAGACCAGCCUGACUAACAUAGUAAAACCCUGUCUCUACUCAAAAUACAAAAAUUAGCUGCGUGUGGUAGUGCACAUCUAUAAUCCCAGCUACUCGGGAGGCUGGGGCACAAAAAUUGCUUGAACCUGGGAGGCAGAGGUUGCAGUGAGCUCAGAGUCUCGCUCUGUCUCAAAAAAAAAACCCACAAAAAACUAGCUGUGGUUUAACUCCCAACCAAAUUUCCAGCCUUAUUUGCCACCCUUUUCUUCUAUGUGAAUCCUCUACCUUAGCCAGAUAGUUCUCUUUAUUGACUCCAAAUGCUCCUGCUUUCCAAAUGCCAUACUCUCUGCCUGAAAUGCCUUUCUCUUUCCUGUCCAUUUAUUGUGGAGAUUCUACCUAAACAUGGAAGCUAAGCUUAAAUCAUACUUCCUUCAGGAAGUCUUCCCUGAUUACUUCAGCUCACAGAGCUGUCUCCCUCUGAACUAGUUAAAAAAGUUCUUGUGGCUGGGCGCAGUGGCUUACACCUGUAAUCCCAGCACUUUGGGAUGUCAAGGCAGGCGGAUCACUUGAGGUCAGAAGUUUGACACCAUCCUGGCCAACAUGGCAAAAUGCCAUCUCUACUUUAAAAAAUACAAAAAUUAGCUGGGUGUGGUGGUGGUGCAUGCCUGUAGUCCCAGCUACUCGGGAGGCUGAGGUAGGAGAAUUGCUUGAACCUGGGAGGCAGAGGUUGCAGUGAGCUGAGAUAGUGCCACUGCACUCCAGCCUGGGUGACAGAGUGAGACUCCAUCUCAAAAAAAAAAAAAAGUUAUUGUAAAAAACUCCUGCUCCUUAAGAGGGACGUAGGAUGUUUGUCUGCUUCUUGGGUAAUGGGAAAUUAACUUGGAUAGAGCUCAUUCCUCAUUCUCUAUUUCUGCAGCUAUAAAAUUGGGCCAAUAACCUUAGCCCUCCUUAUUGUCUCAGGAAAGCCCUGGGUGAGGAUGCCACUGAGCCCGCCUGGAGCCAGGAGCUGGUCUGCAGAAACUGCUGGGCCUGUUUCUACUCUGAUGUUUACUUGGCCUGGAGGCCCAGUGUGAUGAAACCCGGCCCUGUUGCCGAGCACCUUGGGAAGCCUCCCUCCAGGGUCCCUCUGUGCUCAGACAGUGGCCCUUUGUAGAGUGGAGGAGCAGACUGAAAGCGGAGCUGCUGGAAACCGUUUCCUCCCCUCUGCCUCGAGCAACCUCCUCCCGCAGCCACAGACCAUCCUGUGCCUGGGUGGCCUCUGCUUUAAGUCUGCAGCUGGCGGGGUAAGAUAGGGUCUCUAGGCAGCCUGCUAGGCUGGAAGGGUGAGGAGGGGUCCUGGCAGGAUGGCCAGCUGAAACACAGCAUCCCCUAACUCAAUACAGAUCACUUAUAACAGGGCUUUCCAAAGAGGAGACUGGCCCCUUACAGGCAAGAUUGACAUUUCACCAUCCCCUGCCACCACUCAAUAAGCGCCUAAGAUUUAGGCUAGAAGUGAUGUGGUUUGUCCCUUCUGUCCCUACUUCACUGGCCCCUAUACUCACUAGCGGGGGGGAUUGGGAAUCCUUAGACAUAAUCCCAAACCUGGUGGAGUAGGAGUUCAGUAAGUGGGGAAGAACUAGGAACAAGAGGAAAGAAGGUUUAAGAGUGUGGUAUAGGCUGGGCACGGUGGCUCAUGCUUGUAAUCCCAGCACUUUGGGAGGCUGAGGCAAGCGGAUCACUUGAGGUCAGGGGUUUGAGACCAGCCUGGCCAACAUGGUGAAACCCCAUCUCUACUAAAAAUACAAAAAUUAGCCAGGCAUGGUGGCGGGCGCCUGUAAUCCCAGCUCCUCAGGAGGCUGAGGCAGGAGAAUCGCUUGAACCCGGAAGGCAGAGGUUGCAGUGAGCCAAGAUGGCGCCAUUUCACUCCAGCCUGGGCGACAAGAGUGAGACUCCGUCUCAAAAAAAGUGUUGUAUAGGUGAAAGGACACUUAACUGGUCUGGGGGGCAGGAAGCCUGGGAUUCCAUUUCUGCUGAGCUACUGACUUGCUGGGUG
rnacentral:lncRNA from 1 species